CCUACGGGGGGCUGCAGUGAGGAAUAUUGCGCAAUGGGGGAAACCCUGACGCAGCGACGCCGCGUGGAUGAUGAAGGCCUUCGGGUCGUAAAAUCCUGUCAGGUGGAAAGAAAUGUAGUAUGCCUAAUACGUGUACUAUUUGACGGUACCACCAAAGGAAGCACCGGCUAACUCCGUGCCAGCAGCCGCGGUAAUACGGAGGGUGCAAGCGUUGUUCGGAAUUACUGGGCGUAAAGCGCGCGUAGGCGGCUAUUUAAGUCAGAUGUGAAAGUCCACGGCUCAACCGUGGAAGUGCAUUUGAAACUGGAUGGCUUGAGUACUGGAGGGGGUGGUGGAAUUCCCGGUGUAGAGGUGAAAUUCGUAGAUAUCGGGAGGAAUACCGGUGGCGAAGGCGACCACCUGGCCAGAUACUGACGCUGAGGUGCGAAAGCGUGGGGAGCAAACAGGAUUAGAUACCCCUGUAGUC
rnacentral:rRNA from 1 species